CCUGGAGAUUCCAGAGGCAAAAAAAAAGAGGACCUGCAGAAAGACCAUGUUCUAUGCCUGCCAGCCUGAGAUGCCCUGCAAUCUGUUCUUACAAGUAUUGAGGAGCCUCAGGAGUUGUCUUAAUAAGAGCCAUUAAUAGCAUGGGGCAUAUUUAUUAUCACCAUGGGGAAACCACGACCACCUUUGUAGGUGAGAGUACGCUUUGUAGGUGAGAGUACACUCCGUAGGGAGAGUAUGCUAUAUUCAAAUAUCACCCAGGUUUGAGAGCAAUUCAUCCUCAUCAGCGAAAGAGAAGUGAGCAAAGUGCACACCAAGUGUGACUGAUGACUGU
rnacentral:lncRNA from 1 species